rnacentral:rRNA from 1 species
GACGAACGCUGGCGGCGCGCUUAACACAUGCAAGUCGAACGGAAAGGCCUGCUUUCCCUUGUGGCUUGCGGGUACUCGAGUGGCGAACGGGUGAGUAACACGUGAGUGAUCUGCCCCCAACUUGGGUAUAAGCCUGGGAAACUGGGUCUAAUUCCCGAUAGGACUGCAGGGUGGUGCCUGUGGUGGAAAACGAUUUUCUAGUGGUUGGGGAUGAGCUCGCGGCCUAUCAGCUUGUUGGUGGGGGAAUGGCCUACCAAGGCGGCGACGGGUAGCCGGCCUGGGGGGGGGGGCGGCCCCAUUGGGCCUGGGUGCCGGCCCCGACUCCGACGGGGGGCGGGGUGGGGGAUUAUGGCAGCAGGGGCGGAGCCCUGCUGCGGCGCCCCGGGGGGGGGGAGCCCGCCUUUGGGGUUGUAACCUCUUUUCGCCGGGGGGGAAGCCCCGUGGUUGGAGGGGGGGUGGCGGUGGUGGAAGAAAAAGCCCCGGCUAACUCCGUG